AUGAGGACACACACACGCACACAGAGGAGGACACACACACGCACACAGAGGAGGACACACACACGCACACAGAGGAGGACACACACACGCACACAGGAGGAGGACACACACACGCACACAGAGGAGGACACACGCACACAGAGGAGGACACACACGCACACAGAGGAGGACACACACGCACACAGAGGAGGACACACACACGCACACACACAGAGGAGGACACACACACGCACACACACAGAGGAGGACACACACGCACACACACAGAGGAGGACACACACACGCACACACAGAGGAGGACACACACACGCACACACAGAGGAGGACACACACGCGCACACACAGAGGAGGACACACACGCGCACACACAGAGGAGGAACACACACACACACAGAGGAGGACACACACACACACACAGAGGAGGACACAACAAACACACACACACAGAGGAGGACACACACACACACACACAGAGGAGGACACACACACACACACACACAGAGGAGGACACACACACACACACACAGAGGAGGACACACACACACACACAGAGGAGGACACACACACACACACAGAGGAGGACACACACACACACACAGAGGAGGACACACACACACACAGAGGAGGACACACACACACACACAGAGGAGGACACACCACACACAGAGGAGGACACACACACACACACAGAGAGGACACACACACACAGACACACAGGAGGACACACACACACACAGAGGAGGACACACACACACACAGAGGAGGACACACACACACAGAGGAGGACACACACACACACACACAGAGGAGGACACACACACACACACACAGAGGAGGACACACACACACACACACACACAGAGGAGGACACACACACACACACACACAGAGGAGGACACACACACACACACACACACAGAGGAGGACACACACACACACACACAGAGGAGGACACACACACACACACACACAGGAGGACACACACACACACAGAGGAGGACACACACACACACACACACACACACACAGAGGAGGACACACACAGAGGAGGACACAGAGAGCGAGAACUUCACCCUUUGA
rnacentral:lncRNA from 1 species